CCUACGGGAGGCUGCAGUGGGGAAUAUUGGACAAUGGGGGGAACCCUGAUCCAGCGACGCCGCGUGAGUGAAGAAGUAUUUCGGUAUGUAAAGCUCUAUCAGCAGGGAAGAAAAUGACGGUACCUGACUAAGAAGCCCCGGCUAACUACGUGCCAGCAGCCGCGGUAAUACGGAGGGGGCAAGCGUUAUCCGGAUUGACUGGGUGUAAAGGGAGCGUAGACGGUGGGGCAAGUCUGAUGUGAAAGGUCGGGGCCCAACCCCGGGACUGCAUUGGAAACUGUCGAACGGGAGUACGGGAGAGGUUAGUGGAAUUCCAGGUGUAGGGGUGAAAUGCGUAGAUAUCAGGAGGAACACCAGUGGCGAAGGCGACUUACUGGACUGUAACUGACGCUGAGGCUCGAAAGCGUGGGGAGCAAACAGGAUUAGAUACCCCAGUAGUC
rnacentral:rRNA from 1 species